UACGUAGGGGGCAAGCGUUGUCCGGAAUCAUUGGGCGUAAAGCGCGUGUAGGCGGCUGGCUAAGUCCGCUCUGAAAGCCCGGGGCUCAACCCCGGGAGGCGGGUGGAUACUGGUCAGCUCGAGUCCGGAAGAGGAGUGUGGAAUUCCUGGUGUAGCGGUGGAAUGCGCAGAUAUCAGGAGGAACACCAACGGCGAAGGCAGCUCGCUGGGACGGUACUGACGCUGAGGCGCGAAAGCGUGGGGAGCGAACAGG
rnacentral:rRNA from 1 species